UCCGGUUGAUCCUGCCGGAGGCUACCGCUAUUGGAGUUCGAUUAAGCCAUGCGAGUCGAGAGUCCUCGGGACUCGGCGCACCGCUCAGUAACACGUGGGUAACCUGCCCUAUGCUGGGGAAUAACCUCGGGAAACUGAGAAUAAUGCCCCAUAGCCCACUACGCCUGGAACGGUGAGUGGGUCAAAGCUCCGGCGGCAUAGGAUGGGCCUGCGCCGUAUCAGGUUGUAGGGGGUGUAAAGUACCCUCUAGCCAUCAACGCGUACGGGUGUUGGGAGACAUUGCCCGGAGAUGGAUUCUGAGACACGAAUCCAGACCCUACGGGGUGCAGCAGGCGCGAAAACUUGGCAAUGCGAGCAAUCGUGACCAGGGAACUCCAAGUGCGUAGGGUAAGACCUACGCUUUUCUUGACUCUUCAAAGGUCUUGGAAUAAGGGGUGGGUAAGGACGGUGCCAGCCGCCGCGGUAAUACCGGCGCCUCAAGUGGUAGUCGCUUUUAUUGGGCCUAAAACGUCCGUAGCCGGUCUGGUGCAUUCGUGGGUAAAUCAACCCGCUCAACGGGUUGAAUUCUGCGAGCACGGCCAGACUUGGGACCGGGAGAGGUGUGGGGUACUCUCAGGGUAGGGGUAAAAUCCUGUCAUCCUGAGAGGACCACCUGUUGCGAAGGCGCCACACUAGAACGGAUCCGACGGUCAGGGACGAAACCUAGGGGCACGAACCGGAUUAGAUACCCGGGUAGUCCUAGGUGUAAACGCUGUGGACUUGAUGUUGGGGGCGCUCCGAGCGCUUUCAGUGUCGAAGCGAAGGUGAUAAGUCCACUGCCUGGGGAGUACGGUCGCAAGGCUGAAACUUAAAGGAAUUGGCGGGGGAGCACUGCAACCUGAGGAUUGUGCGGUUUAAUUGGAUUCAACGCCGGG
rnacentral:rRNA from 1 species